UUUCCAACCUUUGUGAGUUAGUUAGACCAAAAAAAAUGAAAAAAGAAAAAAAAAUUAUUGGGGGUUUUCGGGCUCCCUAAAAGUAAUACCCGGGUAUUAGGUUUUGGGACUAGGGAAAGGUUUAAGUUUUUUGGCGUUAGGGUUAAAAUCACUGUCCAAAACCUUUGUAGGAACUCUUUUCCAACCUUUUGGAGUUAGUUAGACCAAAAAAAUAAGAAAAAUGAAAAAAAAAUAUUUGGGGUGUUCAGGCUUCCUAAAAGUAAUACCCGGGUAUUAGGUUAUGGGGCUAUGGUAAGGUUUAACGUUUUGGCGUUAGGGUUUAAAAUCACUGUCCAAAACCUUUGUAGGAACUCUUUUCCAACCUUUUGGAGUUAGACCAAAAAAAGAAUGAAAAAUGAAAAAAAAAAUAUUUGGGGUUUUCGGGCUUCCUGAAUGUAAUACCCGGGUAUUAGAUUUUAAGGCCAGGGUAAGGUUUAAGUUUUUGGCAUUAGGGUUAAAAUCACUGUCCAAAACCUUUGUAGGAACUCUUUUCCAACCUUUUGGAGUUGGUUAGACCAAAAAAAAGAAAAAUGAAAAAAAAUAUUUGGGGUGUUCAGGCUUCCUAAAAGUAAUACCCGGUUUAUGGGGCUAUGGUAAGGUUUAAGGUUUUUGGCGUUAGGGUUAAAAUCACUGUCCAAAACCUUUGUAGGAACUCUUUUCCAACCUUUUGGAGUUGGUUAGACAAAAAAAAAUGUAAAAUGAAAAAAAAAAAUAUUUGGGGUUUCGGGCUUCCUGAAGGUAAUACCCGGGUAUUAGGUUUUGGGGCUAGGGUAAGGUUUAAGGUUUUUGGCAUUAGGGUUAAAAUCACUGUCCAAAACCUUUGUAGGAACUCUUUUCCAACCUUUUGGAGUUGGUUAGACCAAAAAAAAAUUAAAAUGAAAAAAAAAAUAUUUGGGGUGUUCGGGCUUCCUGAAGGUAAUACCCGGGUAUUAGAUUUUAAGGUUAGGGUAAGGUUUAAGGUUUUUGGCGUUAGGGUUAAAAUCACUGUCCAAAACCUUUGUAGGAACUCUUUUCCAACCUUUUGGAGUUAGUUAGACCAAAAAAAAAAAAGAAAAAAAAAUAUUUGGGGUUUUCGUGCUCCCUGAAAGUAAUACCCGGGUAUUAGGUUUUGGCACUAGGGAAAGGUUUAAAGUUUUUGGCAUUAGCGUUAAAAUCACUGUCCAAAACCUUUGUAGGAACUCUUUCCCAACCUUUUGGAGUUUGUUAGACCAAAAAAAAAUGUAAAAUGAAAAAAAAAAAAAAUGUUUGGGGUUUUCAGGCUUCCUGAAGGUAAUUCCCGGGUAUUAGGUUAUGGGGCUAUGGUAAGGUUUAAGGUUUUUGGCAUUAGGUUAAAAUCACUGUCCAAAACCUUUGUAGGAACUCUUUCCCAACCUUUUGGAGUUUGUUAGACAAAAAAAAAAAUGUAAAAUGAAAAAAAAAAAUAUUUGGGGUGUUCGGGCUUCCUGAAGGUAAUACCCGGGUAUUAGGUUAUGGGGCUAUGGUAAGGUUUAAGGUUUUUGGCAUUAGGGUUAAAAUCACUGUCCAAAACCUUUGUAGGAACUCUUUUCCAACCUUUUGGAGUUACUUAGACCAAAAAAAUAUGAAAAAGGAAAAAAAAAUAUUUGGGGUUUUCGGGCUUCCUGUGGUAAUACCCGGGUAUUAGAUUUAAAGGCUAUGGUAAGGUUUAAGUUUUAUGGCGUUAGGGUUAAAAUCACUGUCCAAAACCUUUGUAGGAACUCUUUUCCAACCUUUUGGAGUUACUUAGACCAAAAAAAAAAUGAAAAAAGAAAAAAAAAAUAUUGGGGGUUUUCGGGCUUCCUGGAAGUAAUACCCGGGUAUUAAGUUUUGGGGCUAGAAAAAGGUUUAAGGUUUUUGGCGUUAGGGUUAAAAUCACUGUCCAAAACCUUUGUAGGAACUCUUUUCCAACCUUUUGGAGUUAGUUAGACCAAAAAAAAAUGAAAAAUGAAAAAAAAAUAUUUGGGGUGUUCAGGCUUCCUAAAAGUAAUACCCGGGUAUUAGGUUUUGGGGCUAUGGUAAGGUUUAAGGUUUUUGGCGUUAGGGUUAAAAUCACUGUCCAAAACCUUUGUAGGAACUCUUUUCCAACCUUUUGGAGUUACUUAGACCAAAAAAAAAAUGAAAAAGGAAAAAAAAAUAUUUGGGGUUUUUCGGGCUUCCUGAAGGUAAUACCCGGGUAUUAGGUUAUGGGGCUAUGGUAAGGUUUUAGGUUUUUGGCAUUAGGGUUAAAAUCACUGUCCAAAACCUUUGUAGGAACUCUUUUCCAACCUUUUGGAGUUAGUUAGACCAAAAAAAAAAUGAAAAAUGAAAAAAAAAUAUUUGGGGUGUUUCGGCUUCCUGAAGGUAAUACCCGGGUAUUAGGUUAUGGGGCUAUGGUAAGGUUUAAAGUUUUUGGCAUUAGGGUUAAAAUCACUGUCCAAAACCUUUGUAGGAACUCUUUCCCAACCUUUUGGAGUUAGUUAGACCAAAAAAAAAAAAAGAAAAAUGAAAAAAAAUAUUUGGGGUGUUCAGGCUUCCUAAAAGUAAUACCCGGGUAUUAGGUUAUGGGGCUAUGGUAUGGUUUAAGGUUUUUGGCAUUAGGUUUAAAAUCACUGUCCAAAACCUUUGUAGGAACUCUUUUCCAACCUUUUGGAGUUAGUUAGACCAAAAAAAAAAGAAAAAUGAAAAAAAAAUAUUUGGGGUGUUCAGGCUUCCUAAAAGUAAUACCCGGGUAUUAGGUUAUGGGGCUAUGGUAAGGUUUAAGGUUUUUGGCGUUAGGGUUAAAAUCACUGUCCAAAACCUUUGUAGGAACUCUUUUCCAACCUUUUGGAGUUAGUUAGACCAAAAAAAAAUGAAAAAUAAAAAAAUAUAUAUUUAGGGUUUACGGGCUUCCUGAAGGUAAUACCCGGGUAUUAGAUUUUAAGGCUAGGGUAAGGUUUAAGUUUUUUGGCGUUAGGGUUAAAAUCACUGUCCAAAACCUUUGUAGGAACUUUUUCCAACCUUUUGGAGUUAGUUAGACCAAAAAAAAAGAAAAAUGAAAAAAAAAUAUUUGGGGUGUUUAGGCUUCCUGAAUGUAAUACCCGGGUAUUAGGUUAUGGGGCUAGGGUAAGGUUUAAGGUUUUUGGCGUUAGGGUUAAAAUCACUGUCCAAAACCUUUGUAGGAACUCUUUUCCAACCUUUUGGAGUUAGUUAGACCAAAAAAAAAGAAAAAUGAAAAAAAAAAAAUUUGGGGUGUUCAGGCUCCUUAAAGUAAUACCCGGGUAUUAGGUUAUGGGGCUAUGGUAAGGUUUAAGGUUUUUGGCGUUAGGGUUAAAAUCACUGUCCAAAACCUUUGUAGGAACUCUUUUCCAACCUUUGGAGUUAGUUAGACCAAAAAAAAUGAAAAAAGAAAAAAAAAUUAUUGGGGGUUUUCGGGCUUCCUAAAAGUAAUACCCGGGUAUUAGGUUUUGGGACUAGGGAAAGGUUUAAGGUUUUUGGCGUUAGGGUUAAAAUCACUGUCCAAAACCUUUGUAGGAACUCUUUUCCAACCUUUUGGAGUUAGUUACCAAAAAAAAAAGAAAAAUGAAAAAAAAAUAUUUGGGGUGUUCAGGCUUCCUAAAAGUAAUACCCGGGUAUUAGGUUAUGGGGCUAUGGUAAGGUUUAACGUUUUGGCGUUAGGUUUAAAAUCACUGUCCAAAACCUUUGUAGGAACUCUUUUCCAACCUUUUGGAGUUAGUUACCAAAAAAAGAAUGAAAAAUGAAAAAAAAAAUAUUUGGGGUUUUCGGGCUUCCUUAAUGUAAUACCCGGGUAUUAGUUUUAAGGCCAGGGUAAGGUUUAAGUUUUUUGGCAUUAGGGUUAAAAUCACUGUCCAAAACCUUUGUAGGAACUCUUUUCCAACCUUUUGGAGUUGGUUAGACCAAAAAAAAAGAAAAAUGAAAAAAAAAUAUUUGGGGUGUUCAGGCUUCCUAAAAUACCCGUAUUAGGUUAUGGGGCUAUGGUAAGGUUUAAGGUUUUUGGCGUUAGGGUUAAAAUCACUGUCCAAAACCUUUGUAGGAACUCUUUUCCAACCUUUUGGAGUUAGUUAGACCAAAAAAAAAUGUAAAAUGAAAAAAAAAAUAUUUGGGGUGUUCAGGCUUCCUGAAUGUAAUACCCGGGUAUUAGGUUUUGGGGCUAGGGUAAGGUUUAAGGUUUUUGACAUUAGGGUUAAAAUCACUGUCCAAAACCUUUGUAGGAACUCUUUUCCAACCUUUUGGAGUUGGUUACACCAAAAAAAAAUUAAAAUGAAAAAAAAAUAUUUGGGGUGUUCGGGCUUCCUGAAGGUAAUACCCGGGUAUUAGGUUAUGGGGCUAUGGUAAGGUUUAAGGUUUUUGGCGUUAGGGUUAAAAUCACUGUCCAAAACCUUUGUAGGAACUCUUUUCCAACCUUUUGGAGUUAGUUAGACCAAAAAAAAUGAAAAAAGAAAAAAAAAUAUUUGGGGUUUUCGGGCUUCCUGAAAGUAAUACCGGUAUUAGGUUUUGGGCUAGGGAAAGGUUUAAGGUUUUUGGCGUUAGGGUUAAAAUCACUGUCCAAAACCUUUGUAGGAACUCUUUUCCAACCUUUUGAGUUGUUAGACAAAAAAAAAAUGUAAAAUGAAAAAAAAAUGUUUGGGGUUUUCGGGCUUCCUGAAGGUAAUACCCGGGUAUUAGAUUAUGGGGCUAUGGUAAGGUUUAAGGUUUUUGGCAUUAGGGUUAAAAUCACUGUCCAAAACCU
rnacentral:lncRNA from 1 species